rnacentral:rRNA from 1 species
CAGUCGCCGCGGUAAUACGAAGGGGGCUAGCGUUGCUCGGAAUGACUGGGCGUAAAGGGCGCGUAGGCGGUUUAUACAGUCAGAUGUGAAAUUCCUGGGCUCAACCUGGGGACUGCAUUUGAUACGUAUGGACUUGAGUGGAGAAGAGGGUCGUGGAAUUUCCAGUGUAGAGGUGAAAUUCGUAGAUAUUGGAAAGAACACCGGUGGCGAAGGCGGCGACCUGGUCUUUAACUGACGCUGAGGCGCGAAAGCGUGGGGAGCAAACAGGAUUAGAGACCCCUGUAGUCCCUGUCUCUUAUAC